UUGGACCUUGCCUUUGUUAUACUCAUAAGGGAAGAAGGGAGUCUCGCUUUCCAGAGAAUAUAACACCAUUAAAACCUGCCUUGGACUUGCACUUUAACUGGAAGAGGAACRGCCACCACCAAAAAACAACAGACUGCAUUUUUAUUAGG